GACGAACGCUGGCGGCGUGCUUAACACAUGCAAGUCGAACGGAAAGGCCCUGCUUUUGUGGGGUGCUCGAGUGGCGAACGGGUGAGUAACACGUGAGUAACCUGCCCUUGACUUUGGGAUAACUUCAUGAAACUGGGGCUAAUACCGGAUAGGAGCUCCUGCUGCAUGGUGGGGGUUGGAAAGUUUCGGCGGUUGGGGAUGGACUCGCGGCUUAUCAGCUUGUUGGUGGGGUAGUGGCUUACCAAGGCUUUGACGGGUAGCCGGCCUGAGAGGGUGACCGGCCACAUUGGGACUGAAAUACGGCCCAGACUCCUACAGGAGGCAGCAGUGGGGAAUAUUGCACAAUGGGCGGAAGCAUGAUGCAGCAACGCCGCGUGCGGGAUGACGGCCUUCGGGUUGUAAACCGCUUUCGCCUGUGACGAAGCGUGAGUGACGGUAAUGGGUAAAGAAGCACCGGCUAACUACGUG
rnacentral:rRNA from 1 species